rnacentral:lncRNA from 1 species
UAUGUGAACGACAUGUGGCCCGGCUCUCCGCAGGAGAAAGCCUCGCCGUCCACCUCGGGCUCGGGCCGCUCCAGCCGCCUGUCUUCGCGCUCCCGCAGCCGCUCUUCGUCCCGCAGCUCCAGACCCCACUCCCGCAGCUCCAGCCGCUCGUCCUCGCGGAGCCAUAGCCGGCCGCGGAGGAGCAGACGGUCCCGAUCCCGAUCCCGGUCCCGCAGGCGCCACCAGCGCAAGUACCGGCGAUACUCGCGGUCGUACUCACGCAGCCGAUCGCGGUCCCGCGGCCACCGCUACUACCGAGACAGCCGUUACGAGCAGCCGCGGAGGUACUACCAGUCGCCGUCGCCCUACCGGUCCCGGAGCAGGUCGCGCUCCCGUGGGAGGUCCCAUCACCGGAGGUCGUACUACGCGAUCACUCGAGGGCGGCGCUACUAUGGCUUCGGCCGAACCGUGUACCCGGAGGAUCGCCCCAGGUGGCGGGAAAGAUCCAGGACCAGGUCGCGCAGCAGGAGCAGAACCCCUUUUCGCCUGAGUGAGAAAGAUCGAAUGGAGCUGCUAGAAAUAGCAAAAGCCAACGCAGCAAAAGCUCUAGGAACAGCCAACUUUGACCUGCCAGCAAGUCUCCGUGCCAAGGAAGCAAGCCAGGGAGCUGUUUCCUGCAGUGGGCCAAAGACGGAGAAAUCAUGAAUGUGGUCUCCAGACAAUGAUGAAGAAAAUCUGUUGCAUUCAGAAAAGCAGACUGAAGUGGGAACUAAAAAUGCCAGUGAGAAAUCUGCUGCUGCACAGAGAAACAUAGCGUUCAGCUCUAAUAAUUCUGUAGCAAAGCCUCUAGAGAAAACAACGAAAGCUGCUGUUGAAGAGACGUCAUCAGGAUCACCAAAAAUAGAUAAGAAAAAAAGUCCUUAUGGACUGUGGAUACCUGUCUAAAGGAAAACUAAGGGGUUGCCUAAAACUGCACUUUACUGAGGGGUUCGUGUCCAGCAUCAGCUCACCUGCCUGAGUAAUCUCAGCAGUAAAUGUGAUUGAAAUCCAUUACAGAAAGAGGCUUAAUGGUGCCGUGUUCAUGGGUGAGGUUUCUCUUGAAGAUGUGAGGAUACAGAUGACCCAGAGAAUUGCAUACAGGUGGGGAUCUUGUACAUACCUGUAAGUAUUGU